CGCAUGUCGUGUCGGGAAAGAUUCAUCGGUAUGGGAUGGGGUCGCGUCCUAUCAGCUUGAUGGCGGGGUAACGGCCCACCAUGGCUUCGACGGGUAGCCGGCCUGAGAGGGCGACCGGCCACAUUGGGACUGAGAUACGGCCCAGACUCCUACGGGAGGCAGCAGUGGGGAAUAUUGCACAAUGGGCGCAAGCCUGAUGCAGCGACGCCGCGUGCGGGAUGACGGCCUUCGGGUUGUAAACCGCUUUUGACUGGGAGCAAGCCCUUCGGGGUGAGUGUACCUUUCGAAUAAGCACCGGCUAACUACGUGCCAGCAGCCGCGGUAAUACGUAGGGUGCAAGCGUUAUCCGGAAUUAUUGGGCGUAAAGGGCUCGUAGGCGGUUCGUCGCGUCCGGUGUGAAAGUCCAUCGCUUAACGGUGGAUCCGCGCCGGGUACGGGCGGG
rnacentral:rRNA from 1 species